rfam:Ovis aries breed Texel chromosome 7, whole genome shotgun sequence.
UCCCUGGUGGCUCAGAGGGUAAAGCGCCUGCAUGCUAUGCGGGAGACCUGGGUUCGAUUCCUGGGUCGGGAA